CCUACGGGCCGCACCAGUGGGGAAUUUUCCGCAAUGGGCGAAAGCCUGACGGAGCAACGCCGCGUGAGUGAUGAAGGUUUUCGGAUCGUAAAGCUCUGUUGUUAGGGAAGAACAAGUACCGUUCGAAUAGGGCGGUACCUUGACGGUACCUAACCAGAAAGCCACGGCUAACUACGUGCCAGCAGCCGCGGUAAUACGUAGGUGGCAAGCGUUGUCCGGAAUUAUUGGGCGUAAAGGGCUCGCAGGCGGUUUCUUAAGUCUGAUGUGAAAGCCCCCGGCUCAACCGGGGAGGGUCAUUGGAAACUGGGGAACUUGAGUGCAGAAGAGGAGAGUGGAAUUCCACGUGUAGCGGUGAAAUGCGUAGAGAUGUGGAGGAACACCAGUGGCGAAGGCGACUCUCUGGUCUGUAACUGACGCUGAGGAGCGAAAGCGUGGGGAGCGAACAGGAUUAGAUACCCGAGUAGUC
rnacentral:rRNA from 1 species